rnacentral:rRNA from 1 species
UUCGUAGGUGAACCUGCGGAAGGAUCAUUAUCGUACAACAUGUGUGAGGCGUGCGAGGGCUGUCGCUGACUUCAAAGUCGUGCACGCCGGAGUGCGUCCUCUCACAUUAAAAUCCAUCUCACCCUUUUGUGCACCACCGCGUGGGCACCCUUUGGGAUCGAAUCGAUCCAGGGAGGGGGGCUUGCGUUUUCACACAAACCCCUUUUAAAAAGUGUAGAAUGACCCCACUUUGCGAUGACACGCAAUCAAUACAACUUUCAACAACGGAUCUCUUGGCUCUCGCAUCGAUGAAGAACGCAGCGAAAUGCGAUACGUAAUGUGAAUUGCAGAAUUCAGUGAAUCAUCGAAUCUUUGAACGCACCUUGCGCCCCUUGGUAUUCCGAGGGGCACACCCGUUUGAGUGUCGUGAAAAUCUCAACCUUCUCGGUUUUCUUCUGGACGCCGAAGGAGGCUUGGACUUUGGAGGCCUUUGCUGGCAUCUCUCUCUUUUCGAGAGCCAGCUCCUCUUAAAUGAAUUAGCGGGGUCCUCUUUGCCGAUCCUUGACAUGUGAUAAGAUGUUUCCAUGACUUGGUUUCUGGCUCUGUUGCCUUUGGGACCCGCUUCUAACCGUCUCGACGAGACAAUGUUUGGGCGUGUCUCCCUUCUCGGGAAACACUCUCAACCCCAUGAACCCUUGACCUCAAAUCGGGUGAGACUACCCGCUGAACUUAAGCAUAUCAAUAAGCGGAGGA